AACGAACGCUGGCGGCGUGCUUAACACAUGCAAGUCGAACGCGAACGGGUUCUUCGGGACCUUAGUAGAGUGGCGCACGGGUGAGUAACGCGUAAGUUAUCUACCUCGGCAUCUGGAAUAACUCACCGAAAGGUGUGCUAAUACCGGAUACGUUGAGUAAUCAAGAAAGGUGGCCUCUCUUUGAUGCUACCGUGCUGAGAUGAGCUUGCGUACCAUUAGCUAGUUGGUGGGGUAAUGGCCUACCAAGGCGACGAUGGUUAGCGGGUCUGAGAGGAUGAUCCGCCACACUGGAACUGGAACACGGACCAGACUCCUACGGGAGGCAGCAGUGAGGAAUAUUGCGCAAUGGGGGCAACCCUGACGCAGCGACGCCGCGUGGAUGAUGAAGGCCUUCGGGUCGUAAAAUCCUGUCAGGUGGAAAGAAAUGCAUAUGUGCUAAUACCAUGUAUGCUUGACGGUACCACCCGAAGGGAGCACCGGCUAACUCCGUGCCAGCCGCCGCAGUAA
rnacentral:rRNA from 1 species